rnacentral:rRNA from 1 species
GAUGAACGCUGGCGGCGUGCCUAAUACAUGCAAGUCGAGCGAACAGACGAGGAGCUUGCUCCUCUGACGUUAGCGGCGGACGGGUGAGUAACACGUGGAUAACCUACCUAUAAGACUGGGAUAACUUCGGGAAACCGGAGCUAAUACCGGAUAAUAUAUUGAACCGCAUGGUUCAAUAGUGAAAGACGGUUUUGCUGUCACUUAUAGAUGGAUCCGCGCCGCAUUAGCUAGUUGGUAAGGUAACGGCUUACCAAGGCGACGAUGCGUAGCCGACCUGAGAGGAGGAUCGGCCACACUGGAACUGAGACACGGUCCAGACUCCUACGGGAGGCAGCAGUAGGGAAUCUUCCGCAAUGGGCGAAAGCCUGACGGAGCAACGCCGCGUGAGUGAUGAAGGUCUUCGGAUCGUAAAACUCUGUUAUUAGGGAAGAACAAAUGUGUAAGUAACUAUGCACGUCUUGACGGUACCUAAUCAGAAAGCCACGGCUAACUACGUG